rnacentral:rRNA from 2 species
UUAAAUUGAAGAGUUUGAUCAUGGCUCAGAUUGAACGCUGGCGGCAGGCCUAACACAUGCAAGUCGAACGGUAACAGGAAGCAGCUUGCUGCUUCGCUGACGAGUGGCGGACGGGUGAGUAAUGUCUGGGAAACUGCCUGAUGGAGGGGGAUAACUACUGGAAACGGUGGCUAAUACCGCAUAACGUCGCAAGACCAAAGAGGGGGACCUUCGGGCCUCUUGCCAUCAGAUGUGCCCAGAUGGGAUUAGCUUGUUGGUGAGGUAACGGCUCACCAAGGCGACGAUCCCUAGCUGGUCUGAGAGGAUGACCAGCCACACUGGAACUGAGACACGGUCCAGACUCCUACGGGAGGCAGCAGUGGGGAAUAUUGCACAAUGGGCGCAAGCCUGAUGCAGCCAUGCCGCGUGUAUGAAGAAGGCCUUCGGGUUGUAAAGUACUUUCAGCGGGGAGGAAGGUGUUGUGGUUAAUAACCGCAGCAAUUGACGUUACCCGCAGAAGAAGCACCGGCUAACUCCGUGCCAGCAGCCGCGGUAAUACGGAGGGUGCAAGCGUUAAUCGGAAUUACUGGGCGUAAAGCGCACGCAGGCGGUCUGUCAAGUCGGAUGUGAAAUCCCCGGGCUCAACCUGGGAACUGCAUUCGAAACUGGCAGGCUUGAGUCUUGUAGAGGGGGGUAGAAUUCCAGGUGUAGCGGUGAAAUGCGUAGAGAUCUGGAGGAAUACCGGUGGCGAAGGCGGCCCCCUGGACAAAGACUGACGCUCAGGUGCGAAAGCGUGGGGAGCAAACAGGAUUAGAUACCCUGGUAGUCCACGCCGUAAACGAUGUCUACUUGGAGGUUGUGCCCUUGAGGCGUGGCUUCCGGAGCUAACGCGUUAAGUAGACCGCCUGGGGAGUACGGCCGCAAGGUUAAAACUCAAAUGAAUUGACGGGGGCCCGCACAAGCGGUGGAGCAUGUGGUUUAAUUCGAUGCAACGCGAAGAACCUUACCUGGUCUUGACAUCCACAGAACUUUCCAGAGAUGGAUUGGUGCCUUCGGGAACUGUGAGACAGGUGCUGCAUGGCUGUCGUCAGCUCGUGUUGUGAAAUGUUGGGUUAAGUCCCGCAACGAGCGCAACCCUUAUCCUUUGUUGCCAGCGAUUAGGUCGGGAACUCAAAGGAGACUGCCAGUGAUAAACUGGAGGAAGGUGGGGAUGACGUCAAGUCAUCAUGGCCCUUACGACCAGGGCUACACACGUGCUACAAUGGCGCAUACAAAGAGAAGCGACCUCGCGAGAGCAAGCGGACCUCAUAAAGUGCGUCGUAGUCCGGAUUGGAGUCUGCAACUCGACUCCAUGAAGUCGGAAUCGCUAGUAAUCGUGGAUCAGAAUGCCACGGUGAAUACGUUCCCGGGCCUUGUACACACCGCCCGUCACACCAUGGGAGUGGGUUGCAAAAGAAGUAGGUAGCUUAACCUUCGGGAGGGCGCUUACCACUUUGUGAUUCAUGACUGGGGUGAAGUCGUAACAAGGUAACCGUAGGGGAACCUGCGGUUGGAUCACCUCCUUACCUUAAAGA